AUGCCCCGAGAAGGGACAUGGAGCUACUCAGCAACAGCCUUGCAGCCUAUGCGCACAUCCGAGGUGAGGGCCAGGCCUGGGGGCACGGAGCUCGUCCAUCAUAACCCAGGCAGCCCUCCGCUCCCAGCUGCUCACCCUGUCCUUGCUGCCCUUCCGUUCCUUACCCCAAGCCUAACUAGACCCUGGAUUUCUCCCAGAUGGGAUGACUCCAGCCUGUCAGGGCCCCCUGUGACCUCCGCUCCCUGCUCCCUAGCUAACCCUGAGAGCUUCGGCCUCUACUUCGUGCUUGGCGUCUGCUUCGGCCUGCUGCUGACCCUAUGCCUGCUGGUCAUCAGCAUCUCCUGCGCACCUCGUUCGCGGCCCCGGACCCCUGCCCCGCACCGGGACCCUCGCAGUAGCACCCUAGAGCCGGAAGACGAGGACGACGAGGAUGAGGACACCAUGACCAGGCUGGGUCCGGAUGACACCCUGCAGGGCCAGGAGCUGUCCACAGAACCCGACGGGCCCCUUAGCGUCAAUGUCUUCACGUCAGCAGAGGAGCUAGAGCGGGCACAGCGGCUGGAGGAGCGUGAACGAAUCCUGCGGGAGAUCUGGCGCACUGGGCAGCCAGACCUGUUGGGCAGCGGCACUCUCGGGCCCGGAGCCACGGCCACGUUGGGCCGAAUGCACUAUUACUGACACCCGGUCCCACAGAGUGGGGCCAGAGUACUGGAUACAGGACUGCCUCAGGGCUUUCAAACUGCCUCUGCCCCAACUCUCUUGGUGCUAUUGGGCAUUGGAUCGCCACCUACUAAGCACUCUUCGUGGGGCAGGUGUGGGUGGGAACAGAAUGCCAGCUCCCACCUUUUCCCGAUAAUAAUGACCAAUGAAAGAUCAAAGAAACAGACCGAGGCACGCCUCUUCCACAGAGGGCGGGUAUUAUGAGCAUUCCUCACAAAUUUCGUCCUUUCGAGCCGGCAUUUGGACAAAUAGUCACCUAGUCCCCUGCCCUAUGACCUGCACUGGGAUGUCCUCACCGCAAUCAGAGGGAAGCCUGAGGCUCCGACCUUGAUGCAGAUUCUAUUAGAUUUAGUGCCUGAGCAGAUGCUUCUAGGCCAAAAAUUAUUCCAAGAUUUCUGGUUCCUCUGCGUCAUCUGAACCUAGUUGGGAAAGGGUUAUCACGGACCAGAGCCACCAACUACUUCCCUCCUCCCCUCCUGCAUUCCUGUUCAACCCACCUCUGGCGACUGGAGCUUCUCCGUCUUCAGCUCCUUCCAGACCUCCCCCAUCUUCUGUCUGUGUAUACGGGUUUCAGGUGAAACGCUGGAUCCUUCCCUCCUGCCCCACCCCGCCCCAUCCCACAUUACUGCCCGCUUACUCCAGCUUCAGCUCCAGGAGCGCCAGUCUGUUCUUGAGGGAGUUCACCUCUGCCUUUAACAAUUCCAGUUCAUCCACGCUGUCGUUCUUGCUUUUGGGAGAGGUUAGUGGGACCGAAGGCUGAAGUGUGGGAGCUUCAGGGUCUGGAAUCUUCUUGACAGUAUGUGGCACUUGGGGAGUGGGGACUGACUCUUGAGGCAGCACCUGCUUUUGGGGACCCGCCCCUUCAGAAGGCAGCUUUUUGGGGAGUGCACUGUUUGGGGUGAUCUCAUCUUUGGCUAGUGGUUUCCUUAAAAAGUUGGCCUCCUCCAUGGCAGACACAUCCUCAGCCUUGGACUGGGCUGGAGAGCCGCUGACCUGUUUGACACCACAGCAGGAUGGAUCUGAGGAGUUCGGCUGUGGGGAGUACUCUCCCUGCACCUGGAUGUCAUUUGGGGAUAUGAAGGACUCCGACCUCUGCGUAGUUUCUUCCUGAGGUGAGUGCUGGUACUGAAUGUUGUCUUUAGAAGGCUCCUCUUUAAAAAUCAUGUGCUCUGGGGUCAAGAUCUUUACUAAUGCAGGGGCACUGUCCACAUGAGGGGCCGUCUUCAGGUCAAGAGCUUCGUCCUUAGCUGGCUCAUCCCCAGAAAGGGCGCUCUCUGGAGUGACAGCCUUGACCAGAGUGGUAUUCUCUGUAGUGGGAAUUUUGUCAGAAUCCGGGGCUUUCUCUGGAACGAGGUCCUUUGGAGUGGACACUUUGUCAGGAGCUGGGAUCGGCUCUGGGUCAAGGGCCUUCUCUGGAAGCCGAGACUUCUCUGAAGUAGGGGUUUUACUCCUGGAGGGACCCUUUCCAGGGCUUUUCUGUUCAUCCUCCUGUGGUCAUGGUUGGAUGGGAUCUCGGUUGAACGCUGGAUACCUUAGAGGAGUUCCCUUACCCCCUUGGGGUCUUUUCACCCUUCAACACACCUGUGGGAACCAUCUCCUCCCAGUAAUGCCCUCCUCCAUGUUUCUGGCCCCUCACCUGACUGGAUGCAGAGUGUUGGAGGGUUCUGGAUCCCUUUCUCCCAGGCUGCCUGGACCCUGCGUUGAGGCAGCCGCCAUUGAAGCCUGUGAGAGUAGACCUUCAGGGACCCACGUUCACCUCUAUCCCUCCACACAACCGCCCCCAUCUUCCACCGUUGGAAGGAAGCCCUUACCAGAGUUUCGGGAGGGCCGUUUCUGGCUGUCCACAUUGAGUGUUGAAGGUGGUCUGGAACACAGGAGCAGCGUAAGAGUCGGGCAGGAGAAGCUUCUCCUCUGCACCUCCUCCAGGCUCAACACCCCACCCUCCUUACUUGGCUUUGCUAGGUGCAGGGGCCGCCGCUGCCAGCUUCUUUACAGUGGGUAGAGAUGACUUGGGCAUCAGUUUUUUCGUUUCCUUAAUAGGAGCUGGGAAGAGAAAGAUGAGCAGUGUUCAUCCGCCCGAGUCCCUGGCUGUGUGUGUGUGUGUGUGUCUGUGUGUCUGUGUGUGUGUCUUGUGCUGUGCACAGAAGACUGAACGGGAGAUGGAUUCUGACUUUGGGAGAUGACCCUUAGGGAACUGUGAAGCACCCCAUCCGAACACAGCAGGGAGCAGGAGAGGCUGUAUGUGGGAGAGAGCACCCUAUGCCAACAGGUUUUAAUUCAGUGUUUGAAGUUCAGUCCUGACUUCUUUAUAGACCACCAACAAUCCCCCCACAUCUGCAACAGAGCUGCCCCCCCACCCCCCACCACGACAGGGUCUCAUAGUGUAGCGCUGCUAUCUUGGAGCUUACUAUAUAGACCAGGGUGGCCUCAAAUACCUGCCUCUGCCUCCCAAGUGCUGUGAGUAAAGGUGUACAACACCAUACCCAGCCGUAAUUUGCCCCUUUCUGAUCUCACUUCAGCCUCUCUUGCCGUUUCACGCCUUCUAAGUGAUCUCACACAGUCUUAAAGAGUUUACUCUCCAUCAAUAAACCCAGCCUCCCCCAUUGUUACCACCGAGACCUCAGUCAUGCCCCGCUGCCCUCUCGCCCUUCCUUUCAAAGGAUGACUAGAGAGACUCAGUCUCAAAAUCAAAAACCAGGUUCCUCCUGGAGAGCCACCAGUAGCUGCAGUGUAUCAUCCAGAUGCAGGUUCCGCUUCCCAGACCCUGGCGCCUUCCUCUCUCCUGUUACCCUCAGGUCCCACUUUGCAAGGAUGAGACAAUGAAGAACUGGCUUUUGACUCAUCUUUCUUUUUUUUUUUGAGCUGAGGACCGAACCCAGGGCCUUGCACUUGCUAGGCAAGUGCCCUACCAUUGAGCCAAAUCCCCAACCCCUAGACUCAUCUUUCUUAAUCCUUACAUUGUACUUCUAAAAAAUUCAGCAAGAGGGCUAAGACAGAUGGAUCGGGGGUUACAGUAGGGGUUAAGUCCUAUCUCUCCACCGUGCACCAGGGAUCAAAGUCAAGGUCAUGAACUUGGGUAAGCCACCUUACCAGCCCUACAGUAUACAGUCUUUAAUGAGGUGAUCUGGAUGCUCUGUAAUCCCAGCCUCCUGGAGGUGUAGAGGUAGUUGGAAUGUUGGGAGUUGGAGGGCAGCCUGGCUAUGUUGUAAUACCUUGUCUCAAAAUAAGUAUUAAAAGAAAAUCCCAGGGCUGGAGAUAUGGCUCAGCGGUUAAGAGCACUGACUGUUCUUCCAGAGGUCCUGAUUCAAUUCCCAGCAACCACAUGGUGGCUCACAACCAUCUGUAAUGGGGAUCCCCUCUUUUGGUGUGUCUGAAGAGAGCAACAGUGUACUCACAUACAUGAAGUAAAUAAAUAAAAUCUUAAAAAAAAAAAAAGAAAAGAAAA